CCUACGGGUGGCUGCAGUGGGGAAUAUUGCACAAUGGGGGAAACCCUGAUGCAGCGACGCCGCGUGAGCGAGGAAGUAUUUCGGUAUGUAAAGCUCUAUCAGCAGGGACGAAAAAAGACGGUACCUGACUAAGAAGCCCCGGCUAACUACGUGCCAGCAGCCGCGGUAAUACGUAGGGGGCAAGCGUUAUCCGGAUUUACUGGGUGUAAAGGGAGCGUAGACGGCAAGGCAAGCCAGAAGUGAAAGGGCAGGGCUCAACCCUGUACAUGCUUUUGGAACUGUGGUGCUAGAGUGCAGGAGAGGUAAGUUGAAAUCCUAGGGUAGCGGUGAAAUGCUUAGAUAUCACGAAGAACUCCGAUUGCGAAGGCAGUUCACCGGACUGCAACUGACACUGAGGCUCGAAAGUGUGGGUAUCAAACAGGAUUAGAUACCCUUGUAGUC
rnacentral:rRNA from 1 species